rnacentral:rRNA from 1 species
AGUGAACGCUGGCGGUAGGCCUAACACAUGCAAGUCGAACGGCAGCACAGUAAGAGCUUGCUCUUACGGGUGGCGAGUGGCGGACGGGUGAGGAAUACAUCGGAAUCUACUUUUUCGUGGGGGAUAACGUAGGGAAACUUACGCUAAUACCGCAUCCGACCUACGGGUGAAAGCAGGGGAUCUUCGGACCUGGCGGGGUUGAAGGAGCGGCUGUCGGAUUAGCUAGUUGGCGGGGGAAAGGCCAACCAAGGCGCGGAUCCGUAGCUGGUGUGAGUGGAUGAUCAGCCACACUGGAACUGAGACACGGUCCAGGCUCCUACGGGAGGCAGCAGUGGGGAAUAUUGGACAAUGGGCGCAAGCCUGAUCCAGCCAUACCGCGUGGGUGAAGAAGGCCUUCGGGUUGUAAAGCCCUUUUGUUGGGAAAGAAAAGCAGCAGGUUAAUACCACGCUGUUCUGACGGUACCCAGAGAAUAAGCACCGGCUAACUUCGUG